GAUGAACGCUGACAGAAUGCUUAACACAUGCAAGUCGAUGGGGAAGUGGUGCUUGCACCAUGGUAACCAUGGCGGACGGGUGAGUAACGCGUAAGGAACUUACCGGCGGGACCGGGAUAACAGCAGGCAACUGCUGACAAGACCGGAUAAGGUCAUUAAGCUGCAUAGCUUAGUGAUGAAAGGAGACGCCUGCGGAGAGCCUUGCGUCCUAUUAGCUAGUUGGAGGGGUAACGGCCCACCAAGGCGAAGAUAGGUAGCCGGCCUGAGAGGGUGGACGGCCACAAGGGGACUGAGAUACGGCCCUUACGCCUACGGGAGGCAGCAGUGGGGAAUAUUGGACAAUGGGGGCAACACUGAUCCAGCAAUUCUGUGUGCACGAAGACGGUUUUCGGAUUGUAAAGUGCUUUCAGCAGGGAAGAAGGAAGUGACGGUACCUGCAGAAGAAGCGACGGCUAAAUACGUG
rnacentral:rRNA from 1 species